AUACAAUUCAUUAAAAAUAAGUUCAUUUAAAUACAUGCAUUAUUAUAAUAAAUACAAAUCAUUAAAAAUGAGUUAUUUUAAUGUAUACAUUAAAACAAUAAAUAAAAUCAUUAAAAUCAUUUAAUUUCAAUAAAAACAACAUUUAUUUAAAAAAAUCAUUCCACCAGGCGUCCAAUGUACUGUAGAAAAACAAACAGAACAACAAAUUAGAGUUAACAGACCCAAGCAGCGCUGAAAAAGGGCGGGGCUACAUAAGGUCUAUUGCAUGCACACAAGAAAAGAAAAUCAUUGGCCAAAGGUCAUCAUGUGCCUUGGUGAUAUCUCUGAUUGGACUGCUGCCAAGAAUAAAAGACCCCUGCCCCCCAUCAAGGAUCAUUCAUCAAGAACUACACCUAUUUUCUGAGAAUGUCAGCGGUAAGUUCGCCAUACAGCAGGCCUGCGCCCACCCGGAUCACUCAUCAUAUGAGGUGUCCAAAAACUAAAUUAAAAUAGCGUUGUACAAAACCACUACAAUAAGUGCCCUCAGUGAUGCGUGAGGGCAUUUAUUGCUCCUGUGGAGGGUGAAAGCCCACUGUUUGAGACCGGGAGGGUCUAUAUUAUAAAAAAUUACACCCUGUCCCACAAAUUUGGACGGGAGUGCAUAUUCCUCAACCCCAACUCGAAGGCAGAAAGGUCAGCCAAGUACCUCCUCAAUCCACCAACUGCGCUGAUGUCUGGGGAAGAGCAGGACCUGUUCACAAGGGGAGGGUUCAUCUCCCUGAAGGGAGAAACUGAAAAAUUGCAGGUCCCCAGGAUGACCCGAGUGGCUGAUGGAGAGGUCCCCAUCAGAGACCUGUCUCUCCGGUGUGGCCAGAAGGUUUUGGAGGUGUCCCUCUGGCGUGAUGAGGCCCUAGUCUAGCUCAGCCUGGGGGAUCAUGUUGAGAUUUCGUGCCUCAGGGUGAGUCUCAGACCUUCUCCCAAGCUGAACUCAUCCAGCUAUUCAGCUGUGGAGGUACACAACAUUAUACAUCAUGUAACCUAAUUAUUCUCCAAUUGAUCUUUCUGCAUCUUCCUACACUCCUGAGUGUCUACAAAGUGGAUAUACACUUUUUAUAUAUUCAUUGGUAAUAAUUUAUAUUGGUAACACUUUAGAAUUAGGCACUAUUAGUUUAAUAUUAAUGCGUUGACUAAGUUACCUAACAAUUAGCAACACAUUUGUUACAGUACUUGUCAAUCUGUUACACAUAAUGUUGAGGUGGAGCUCAACAUCAUUGGGGUCUCGGAUGGAGAUGGUGAGACAGUUCUGCUGUCCGACACCUAUGAAGAAUACACGGUCCCUGCAGCGCUAAUGCUCGACAUCACUGCUGAUGACUUGCCAAUAAAAAUUA
ensembl:lncRNA